rnacentral:rRNA from 1 species
UGGAACUGAGACGCGGUCCAGAUUCCUACGGGAGGCAGCAGUAAGGAAUAUUGGACAAUGGGCGAAAGCCUGAUCCAGCCAUGCCGCGUGUGUGAAGAAGGUCUUCGGAUUGUAAAGCACUUUAAGUUGGGAGGAAGGGCAGUAAGUUAAUACCUUGCUGUUUUGACGUUACCGACAGAAUAAGCACCGGCUAACUUCGUGCCAGCAGCCGCGGUAAUACGAAGGGGGC